UUUUUUUUUUUUUUUUGAUAGAAUUUUUACAUUGAAAUACACCUGAACCCCAAGGAAUAGGGCAGAGCCAGAGCCAGGUUGACUGAUCCAGAACAUGUAAAGCUUCUAGAAUUUUCCUCUCCAAGAAGAUUCUCAGGACCAAUAGAAAAUCAAAGUUGUAGCUGGUCCUCCUGGAGUGCUAGUGUCAUUCUCCACUGCUCCCACCUGCCCUCACUCUAGUUUAGUCCUAAGAAGAACAUGAAGGUUCUUAGCAUGGGUCUGUUUUCUUGCUCAAAGGGUAUCUUGGUAGUUGAAUUGAUAACAGUUAAACCAUAGUAAAAAGAAAAAAAAAAAAAGAAAAAAGGAAAGAAAAAGAAACUCAACUAAAUUUUCCAAUUCAAACGUUGAGGAAAAAAAUACCCUGAUUUGGAUAAAAAUCAAUAGUGAUAUUCCCCAGCCCCUGUUUGUCUCUGAAUCUUUGCCUGUAGGCUCCACUCAAAGCACACCAGGGAAUGAUUAAAACCCACCAUUGGGACCCACAUUUUGGCUGAUGGAUUUUUUUUUUUAAAAAAACAAAGUUUUGUUUCUUUAUUCUGCAAAGAGGCAAAGAAAUGAGUCCAUUUGAUGAUGUGAGCCUUAAAGUUGAAAAAGACUGUGCGGAAGAACAAAAGUGAGGCAUAGUUCCUAAAGAGCUUUCACCCACGUUAAAAACCAUCCAAAUGCUCCCCAUGCACCCAUUCUCUUGUCUGCCCAAAGCUCAAUGAAUAUCAGUUUUCAAAUUGAUCCCUCCAUAUAUUCUCUGAUACUUUAGGAAAAAUUAAUAUCAGGACAUUUGGUUUAGAAUUACAAGUGGCUGGCUUGAGCUAAGUGACCCCUGGUCUCCUGACCAGAGUACCGUUGUGCUGGGUUCACAGUGCUGUGAAGUAUCUAAGAACUAUAGGUGUGUGAGACUUCUCCCUUCCAGCUGUACUGCUCAUCCUGUGGGCUUCCAGGUGCCACCACACCUGGAGAACAUAGUAUCCUUCGGUGGUUCUACUUCCCAAGUAACGAGGUCACCACUAUUCUUUAUAUGAUGCCUUCGCUACAGGCAAUAAUGACUGAACCCUCACAGUAUCCCUGAGCAGGAGAGAAAGAAGAAGUAGGCCUUCUCUCCCUCCACUUUACAGAUGGAGAAACCAAGGCACCGAGAGGUGAAGUGAGUUAUCCAUGAUCACAGUGGGGACCCUGAAUCAGCCUGUGAUAUUUCCUGAUCUUUCUGGGUCUAAAGAAAAGCUUCUAGGAGGUCUACAGCUAAAACAAAUCUCCUAACCCCACUGUAGCCUGAGGACCCCAGAACUAUGUUGGGUAUAGAGAAACAGACCAAGGGAGUUCAUUUAAUAGGUGGCCAGUUGUCUAUAUCCACCAUGACAUAUGGCCAAAGGCUACUUCUAGAAAGAUGUUCACUGAGUUGCCAAUUGGCACUAUACCCAAAGGAAAUUAUUAUUUUUUUUUGUCCUCCUUGGUUUAAGGAUGGAUUUUAGGAGUAGUCCUUCCUGUAUGAGCAUGGGUGAGCUGACUGAGUUCAGUUUGCAUUGUGGGGUCUUGUGAUUCAUGUUAGGGAUUAGCAGGGGCAAGCAUCUCCUAGCUAGGCUUGCAUAUUGUUCUGCAUGGGAUGAAGCAGGCCAGGGCAUGGGAUGAGGCAGGCUCCCCUUAGGACCUGCCUGCUCAUUUCCAAUUUGGUCUAUUUUUAGCCCUUGACACAAGGUGUUGACCAUGUGCAGGGGGAUCUCCUACGGUUGUCCGUCUGCUGCCCUCAGGAGCUGCCAUUAAUAGCACUCCCGACCUUUGGCUCCAGUAUAUACCAGCCAUGUCCUGCCAGCCACUGCAAGGAAAGGUACAGGGAGCAAGAAGGCACAGCCCCUUUCCAGGAGGCAGAGAAGAAGCAGAUGGUGCCCAGGAGAGUCAAGUAAGGCAGACAGAACCAGGCAGGCAAAAAAAUAAAGCUGCAGGCAGAUCAAGGCAGUGCCCUUGUCUUUUGAUAUUUGGCCAAUAGCACAAAAUGCAGUGUUUUAAGCAAGAAAUGAAAUCUUUAAAAUAGCUAAGGAUGGAUGAGAAAGAGGCUUGUGUUGUCAUUCAUUGCAGGGAUGCAUCUUUUUCCCCAGUGAGAGGUUUCAAAAAAAAAAAAAAAUCUCUGAGAUGGCAAUGUUGCCUUUCUACAGGUUUUGCAACUGGGACAGGCACACGUCAAUUUAGGAUGCUCUGAGGGCAGCCCUCUUACAAACUUAUGAUGUUGAAGCCUGUGAUAGGCUAACCACUGCAAUUCCCACAUCCAGGAGGUUGAUCUGUGGAUGGAAAUGCAAUGUUGCCUAUGACUGUGGCCAGUUUUGGAUGAGGAGAUAAUGAGACAGACUUUAACCUUGAAGAAUUUUCCCAUUUUAUUCACCUCGUUCACACCCGGACUUUAAUAAGAGGGGAGCUGAUGUGGAUUUGAAUUCACUUCGCACGGGAUACUUGUGAAUGCGUCAUAUGGAGAAUCUAGUAGUCAAUACAUGUUUGAGAAUGAAAUGAACAGAACUGCUACCUAUAAGGCUAAUCCAGCCACUGGGGUGUAUCCUUCUCUUUGACCGUGCAAGGUCUUUCCAGGUCUUUUUUGAGCUCUUCAAGACUUUUCCUUGUUUCUGAGGCUACACUGGGAAUAUCACUUGAAUCUAGGUGAGAUUAAUUGCAAUGAGCUCUCUUCAAACUUUCCAAAUUUGAAUCCCCCCAAGCAAAUCUGGUGGUGUUAUUUUAACACUGUUCAGUUUGGCAAAGACCUAACAGAUUUUUAGCUUUUUGAUAAGACGAUCAAAUCAGUGUACACAAGGAGCGCCUCCUCAUAAAGGCCACCACCCAAAGUGCUGUCAUCACACAGAAGCAGCCCGACAAAGCUCACUUUGAGUAAGGAGCCACUUUCCUUAGAAAAGAAAAUGGCAUCCAGUGUGCUAAAUAAUUUUAGGUGACCCAAUCUACCACAUUUGAGAAGCCGGGACCCAGAGGGUGUGGGACCUAUAGGUAGAAUAUGCCUCAGCCCCAAUGUCCUUUGGAAUCUGACAUUCUUUUCUCCAGACCAAAGGCUCUAACCAUGCACACUGCUGUCUUCUCCUUACACCUGUUCCUAGGUAAAGGAGAACAUUUUGCCAGAGUCCAGGGGCAUCAGGACUUAGGGCUUAUUACCAAGCCCUCUAUCCCUAGGAGCAAGCAGCAGGAUAAAUAGGCAAAGGGGAAGUAAGCUUUCUUGAUCACACACAUCAACACAGAGAGGGUAGUUUCGGUGUAUACAAAGGAGUGGGGCACCAUCCAUUUAAGAAGUUCUCUAAACAAUCUCAGCAUCAGAAACCUCUGUUUCUGACACUAUGUCUAUGUGGAACCGAGUAAAAGUAGAGGGAUAAUUGAGAAGAUGAUGUCAUUUGAUGUUUUUUAAAAAAAAAAGAACUGUAAAUUUUUCUAAGAAUAAGAAUCCUAUUGGGCCAGGACCUGCUGCCUAUGCCAUGAGAUGUCACAAGGCGAAUAGAAUCAUCCUCAUGACCAUGGUCCAGACAGGGAUUUGUACUCUUUUAAACCACUCUGGGACUCAGAAGGGCAAGUUAGGCCACCAGGGCCAUAGAGUAUUGGCUGAAUUUGUGCUUGGGGAGGUAGAGUGAGGGGAACCCGGCAGGAGUGGGAGAGCCCCUGGGACCAUAAGGAAGUAUUGUGUUCCUCAACUGGAAUGGGACAUG
rnacentral:lncRNA from 1 species